UACGGGGGGGAGCAAGCGUUGUUCGGAUUUACUGGGCGUAAAGGGCGCGUAGGCGGCGCAACAAGUCACUUGUGAAAUCUCCGGGCUUAACCCGGAGCGGUCAAGUGAUACUGUCGUGCUAGAGUGCGGAAGGGGCUACUGGAAUUCUCGGUGUAGCGGUGAAAUGCGUAGAUAUCGAGAGGAACACCAGUGGCGAAGGCGGCACUCUGGGCCGGAACUGACGCUGGAGGAGCGAAAGCGUGGGGAGCAAACAGG
rnacentral:rRNA from 1 species